rnacentral:piRNA from 1 species
UAACCGUGCACACCACUUGUUAAUUAAG